UGACCUACGGGGGGCAGCAGUGGGGGAUAUUGCACAAUGGGGGAAACCCUGAUGCAGCGACGCCGCGUGUGGGAAGACGGUCUUCUGGAUUGUAAACCACUGUCCCCAGGGACGAAAAUGACGGUACCUGGGGAGGAAGCUCCGGCUAACUACGUGCCAGCAGCCGCGGUAAUACGUAGGGAGCAAGCGUUGUCCGGAAUUACUGGGUGUAAAGGGAGCGUAGUCGGGGAUGCAAGUUGGGUGUCAAAACUACCGGCUCAACCGAUGGUCGCACUCAAAACUUCAGCGCUUGAGUGAA
rnacentral:rRNA from 1 species